rnacentral:tRNA from 1 species
AUCUAGCUGGCUCAGCUGGUAGAGCAUGAGACUCUUGAUCUCUGAUCGUGAGUUCAAGCCUCACGCUGGGUG